rnacentral:lncRNA from 1 species
CAUUCUACAAACUCAGUUGACGUCAGCAGUCUUGCCACUGAGAAGUGAUCUUCAUGAAAGAAAAGAGAGGAAAAAAAAGAAUCUACAUAUCUGACAUGUGUUGGGGAUUUAAACCCAGGUCAAGACACUAUGGAGACCUGAUCAAGGACCACUCUCAUUUCUUAAGGCUGUAUCAACAGAUGGUGACAUCAAGAAGAAACUUCCAUGGUACUUUAGUCACCAGCCCUUGGGCAAGAACAGAGACUAAGCACUUGCACAGCUACCAGACAGACUGGCAAGAAGAGACAGAAGGUCACGGGAGAGAGGGAUCCAUCCAGCUGAUGAUCCACGGGGGUUGUUGAGCAUUUAAAGCAUAGUUGUGAAGCUGGUUAUAAUGGCGCAUCCAGGUGAUUUUAAGACUAUAGAUUGAGUGCUUCCUGUACAAAGGAUUGAAGUUCAGUUCCAAGAACCCGCAUCAGGCAACUCACAACACUCCAGCUCCAGAAAUCGUUACUACUCCUUUUGGCCUGCAUGUGCACCUACCCAUACAUGGCAGACACCCAUGCAACACAUACACACUCCGAUAUAAAAAUAAACUACUCUUGACGACAGCAAGCAGUUCAACUGGAGGACAAAUCACUCGUGCUGCUAAAGUGUGCAAAGCAGAGGAAAAUGGAGUCGGGUUCGUGUUCAGACAGAGCGAGGGGACCUUCUCUUGCCAGCUAACUGUCUGACAAGUAAAGAGAUGGAUUCUGAUGCACAGCUUCGGGUGACAAGAAACGAUCUCCCUUUAAAUGAUGUAAUGAUGUGGAGAAGGAAUUUGGAAGAGGGGAAGGAACAAGUGGAUGGUUCUAUAGAAAAGCAGCCAGAAACAAAGACAGAGUCAGUUUGCUCACCUUUUGGGAGU